GUUGAUGUAGCUUAAUUCAAAGCAAGCCACUGAAAAUGCAUAGAUGGGUGCUUCAAACCUCCAUAAACA
rnacentral:tRNA from 1 species